CCUACGGGUGGCAGCAGUAGGGAAUAUUGCUCAAUGGGGGAAACCCUGAAGCAGCAACGCCGCGUGAAGGAUGAAGGUUUUCGGAUUGUUAACCCCUUUUGUUAGAGAAGAUAAUGACGGUAUCUAACGAAUAAGCACCGGCUAACUCCGUGCCAGCAGCCGCGGUAAUACGGAGGGUGCAAGCGUUACUCGGAAUCACUGGGCGGAAAGAGCGCGUAGGCGGGAUAGCAAGUCAGAUGUGAAAUCCUAUGGCUUAACCAUAGAACUGCAUUUGAAACUGUUAUUCUAGAGUAUGGGAGAGGUAGGUGGAAUUCUUGGUGGAGGGGUAAAAUCCGUAGAGAUCAAGAGGAAUACGCAUUGCGAAGGCGACCUGCUAGAACAUAACUGACGCUGAUGCGCGAAAGCGUGGGGAGCAAACAGGAUUAGAUACCCGGGUAGUC
rnacentral:rRNA from 1 species